UUCCCGUUUCUUUCCUUUGGUGUCUGUGUGAGGCGUGGAUGUUGCUGUGCUCUUCCUUCCAUAUGAUGUCCGUAGGUCACAUCCCUGUGCCGGGCGCCUGGCACCUGAGCGUGUCCAGGGCUGCACGUCCGGCGACGCCUCCAGAGAAACCAACACGCUCCAUGCUGAGUUCUUGGUCCAGAGCCUGCCACCCGGCUCCCUGUCCGAACCUGAGCUCACAGCUCAACGCGUCGAUGCGCCAUCGCCAGGCCAGCCCCGGCCUCCACAUCCUGCUUUCCCUGCUUGCUCUGGAACAACCCAGUGAGAUCUCCGGGCACACCCCGGACCCGGGGAGGCCCUGCCCAUGGGUCCCCCCUCUCUGCUCCCCGCCUGUUCCCACAAGCUGGCUGGUGGUGUGUCUCUGCGGCCCCCAGGCACACAGUAACCGCCGCCCCCCACCUCCCGGGACCUGGGGUAUAACAUACAUCUUCCUUCCGAGGCUCUGCCUCGGCUUCCAACAUUUCAGCGGCAGGAAGGACAGGCAGGUCUGCCCCAGAGAGAGUUCUGGAAAUGGAGCCUGUGUGCCUCCCCCCUCACCGGCUCUGAGGGUGCCCCACCUCCUAGGAGAUGGGCGGACAAGCACGGCCUCCUGCGUGGGCCUGGGGCAGCCCUGGGCGGCAUCGUCACAGGCCCACUUUAUUCACAGCAAGUGCAGGAUGCUCUUGAUCCAAAUCCGUCACCGGGUGUGUGCCAACCACGGGCUUCGCUGGGAAGACAGGAAGCGCCCAGGGAGGCUGAGGACAAGGAUUAGCCAGCAGGGGACAGCGAUGCGGGGAGGCAGAGAGGCCUGGCAUCCGCGUGUGGGGCGGGGGGGGGGGGUGGGCAGAGAAGGAGGGGGCAGGAGAGAGCAGGGAGCUCCGUCCCGGCUUUCCCCCCCUCCAGGGUGCCUAAGGAAGAAAGAGGCUGGAUUUCUGCCAAUCGCUCCUUCCCACCCAGGGCUUGGCGACACUCACCCUGCAGGUCUGGAACUCAAGGUCCUGGGUGUGGGCUGACCAGUGAAUGAGGGUGGAGGCAGGACAGGCCAGCCCAGCCCCGCAAGCCUCUGGGUGGGGCUCAGGGCCCCUGGGGGACAUAAUAGCGGCCCCUUGGGAAGUGGCUUCAGACGCUGGCUCUCUGAAAGGAGUCUGAAGCUGGUGGUGAGCGGGUGCAGAGGGUCAGCCAGGGAAGGCCAGGGUUUGGAGAGGGGAGGCAGGAGCCUGAGCCGGGUACGACACAGGGGCCCACGGACCCGCGCUGUCUCCAGGAGCCAUGAAAGGCCCCUGGCUCGUCUUGCUGGUCGUGCUGCUCUGCUCAGAGCUUGCCUGGAGCCUGUCGUGCUACAUCUGUUCCGGCAUCGACGACAUCAGACAUUGUCAGACCACCCAGUGCAACUGGGACUCUUCGAUCUGCUUUAAGAGCAAGAUGACCGUGGCCACGGCCAGUGGGAAGCGGGAGACCUACUUCAUGAGCUGUGCCCCUUCCUGCCAGGCGGCUACCCAGAUGAUGCAGGAGCUGGCAGCCACGACAAACCCCAAGUCUGAAGUGCAGGAUGUGACCUGCUGCCAAAAUGACCUGUGCAACACCGCCGUGGCCCCGGCGGGGCGCAGCCUCUGGGCCCUGGCUGGGGGGCUCCUGUUCAGCCUGGGCCCCACCCUCCUCUGGGCCCUGCAGUGAGGACCCCCGUGACGAAGACUCAGAGGGGCAGGGGCCCUGUUCCCGAGCCUGGUCCCAGGGGGCAGUACCGCGGGCCCAGCUCAGCAGGCUCUUGCACACGCAGGUGCGCACACACGCACACACUCAGAUGCAUGUGUGCGCAGGACCUCCCCCAGGCCCACUGCCACCCCUGGGCCCCCGCAGCCCACCCACCCGACCAGCCCAGCCGCCGGCACCCAGCGAGCCUGCACAUUUGCAAAAACCAUCAAUCAACCACCCGACCGAGAAGCAGAGGCCACCGGGCCCUGGCUGGACCGGCCACUAGGAGGGCAGAGCCACAGCCCGCCUGGCCUGGGUCCGGCUACCUGUGCGCCAGCAUCCUCUGCGGAAAAUAAACCCCUUCCACAUUC